rnacentral:rRNA from 1 species
CGGGACACGUGGUAUCCUGUCUGAAUAUGGGGGGACCAUCCUCCAAGGCUAAAUACUCCUGACUGACCGAUAGUGAACCAGUACCGUGAGGGAAAGGCGAAAAGAACCCCGGCGAGGGGAGUGAAAAAGAACCUGAAACCGUGUACGUACAAGCAGUGGGAGCACGCUUAGGCGUGUGACUGCGUACCUUUUGUAUAAUGGGUCAGCGACUUAUAUUCUGUAGCAAGGUUAACCGAAUAGGGGAGCCGAAGGGAAACCGAGUCUUAACUGGGCGUUAAGUUGCAGGGUAUAGACCCGAAACCCGGUGAUCUAGCCAUGGGCAGGUUGAAGGUUGGGUAACACUAACUGGAGGACCGAACCGACUAAUGUUGAAAAAUUAGCGGAUGACUUGUGGCUGGGGGUGAAAGGCCAAUCAAACCGGGAGAUAGCUGGUUCUCCCCGAAAGCUAUUUAGGUAGCGCCUCGUGAAUUCAUCUCCGGGGGUAGAGCACUGUUUCGGCAAGGGGGUCAUCCCGACUUACCAACCCGAUGCAAACUGCGAAUACCGGAGAAUGUUAUCACGGGAGACACACGGCGGGUGCUAACGUCCGUCGUGAAGAGGGAAACAACCCAGACCGCCAGCUAAGGUCCCAAAGUCAUGGUUAAGUGGGAAACGAUGUGGGAAGGCCCAGACAGCCAGGAUGUUGGCUUAGAAGCAGCCAUCAUUUAAAGAAAGCGUAAUAGCUCACUGGUCGAGUCGGCCUGCGCGGAAGAUGUAACGGGGCUAAACCAUGCACCGAAGCUGCGGCAGCGACGCUGAUGCGUUGUUGGGUAGGGGAGCGUUCUGUAAGCCUGUGAAGGUGUGCUGUGAGGCAUGCUGGAGGUAUCAGAAGUGCGAAUGCUGACAUAAGUAACGAUAAAGCGGGUGAAAAGCCCGCUCGCCGGAAGACCAAGGGUUCCUGUCCAACGUUAAUCGGGGCAGGGUGAGUCGACCCCUAAGGCGAGGCCGAAAGGCGUAGUCGAUGGGAAACAGGUUAAUAUUCCUGUACUUGGUGUUACUGCGAAGGGGGGACGGAGAAGGCUAUGUUGGCCGGGCGACGGUUGUCCCGGUUUAAGCGUGUAGGCUGGUUUUCCAGGCAAAUCCGGAAAAUCAAGGCUGAGGCGUGAUGACGAGGCACUACGGUGCUGAAGCAACAAAUGCCCUGCUUCCAGGAAAAGCCUCUAAGCAUCAGGUAACAUCAAAUCGUACCCCAAACCGACACAGGUGGUCAGGUAGAGAAUACCAAGGCGCUUGAGAGAACUCGGGUGAAGGAACUAGGCAAAAUGGUGCCGUAACUUCGGGAGAAGGCACGCUGAUAUGUAGGUGAAGCGACUUGCUCGUGGAGCUGAAAUCAGUCGAAGAUACCAGCUGGCUGCAACUGUUUAUUAAAAACACAGCACUGUGCAAACACGAAAGUGGACGUAUACGGUGUGACGCCUGCCCGGUGCCGGAAGGUUAAUUGAUGGGGUCAGCGCAAGCGAAGCUCUUGAUCGAAGCCCCGGUAAACGGCGGCCGUAACUAUAACGGUCCUAAGGUAGCGAAAUUCCUUGUCGGGUAAGUUCCGACCUGCACGAAUGGCGUAAUGAUGGCCAGGCUGUCUCCACCCGAGACUCAGUGAAAUUGAACUCGCUGUGAAGAUGCAGUGUACCCGCGGCAAGACGGAAAGACCCCGUGAACCUUUACUAUAGCUUGACACUGAACAUUGAGCCUUGAUGUGUAGGAUAGGUGGGAGGCUUUGAAGUGUGGACGCCAGUCUGCAUGGAGCCGGCCUUGAAAUACCACCCUUUAAUGUUUGAUGUUCUAACGUUGACCCGUGAUCCGGGUUGCGGACAGUGUCUGGUGGGUAGUUUGACUGGGGCGGUCUCCUCCUAAAGAGUAACGGAGGAGCACGAAGGUUGGCUAAUCCUGGUCGGACAUCAGGAGGUUAGUGCAAUGGCAUAAGCCAGCUUGACUGCGAGCGUGACGGCGCGAGCAGGUGCGAAAGCAGGUCAUAGUGAUCCGGUGGUUCUGAAUGGAAGGGCCAUCGCUCAACGGAUAAAAGGUACUCCGGGGAUAACAGGCUGAUACCGCCCAAGAGUUCAUAUCGACGGCGGUGUUUGGCACCUCGAUGUCGGCUCAUCACAUCCUGGGGCUGAAGUAGGUCCCAAGGGUAUGGCUGUUCGCCAUUUAAAGUGGUACGCGAGCUGGGUUUAGAACGUCGUGAGACAGUUC